AGGGGUCCCCAGGCUGACGGCAAGGGGUCCCCAGGCUGAAUGCCAAGGGUAGGAACAUGGAGAGAGCCAGAUGUUUUCCCUGGGGAAGCCUCUCAGGGUGGCCCCUGUUGUCCCAUCCCACCCCCAGCAUGGGAGAUGGAGGGCCCAGCCCGGGGCUCGGGGGUGGCC